GUCUCCUUCGUCUAGUCUGGUCUAGGACACCUGGUUUUCAUCCAGGCAACAGGGGUUCGAAUCCCCUAGGAGACACCA
rnacentral:tRNA from 1 species